rnacentral:rRNA from 1 species
GUUAAGUGUAGAAGGAUGUGGGAUUGCGAAAACAACCAGGAUGUUGGCUUAGAAGCAGCCACACAUUAAAAGAGUGCGUAAUAGCUCACUGGUCGAGUGACGAUGCGCCGAAGAUUACCGGGGCUAAAACCUGACACCGAAGCUUGGGGAUAGACGAGAGUCUAUCGGUAGAGGAGCAAUCUGUAAGAGCAGAAGCGAAAUCGUAAGGUUUCGUGGAUUUUACAGAAGAGAGAAUGCCGGCAUGAGUAGCGAGAGGAAAGUGAGAAACUUUUCCGUCGAAAGCCUAAGGUUUCCUGGGGAAGGUUCAUCCACCCAGGGUAAGUCGGGACCUAAGCCGAGGACUGAGGUCGUAGGCGAUGGACAGCAGGUAGAGAUUCCUGCACCACUUAUACUUGUUUGACGAAGCAGUGACACAGAAGGAUAGGACGAGCGCGGUGAUGGUCAACCGCGUAGGCGGCACGAGGCCGGGAAGCAGUGAAGUACACUUCCCGCAAAGGCUGAGUGUUGACAGGACCGAAAAGAAGUAGGGAAGCGUCCGAGUUCACGCUGGCGAGAAAAGCUGCUAAGGAGAGUGUGAGUGCCCGUACCGGAAACCGACGCAGGUGGGCGAGGAGAGAAUCCUGAGACGGACGGGAGAACUCUUGUUAAGGAACUCGGCAAAAUGACCCCGUAACUUCGGGAGAAGGGGUGCCUCGAAAGAGGCCGCAGAGAAUAGUCACAAGCGACUGUUUAGCAAAAACACAGGUAUCUGCGAAAGCGAGAGCUGACGUAUAGGUGCUGACGCCUGCCCGGUGCUGGAAGGUUAAGGGGAAGUGUUAGGGGAAACCCGAAGCAGAGAACCGAAGCCCCAGUAAACGGCGGCCGUAACUAUAACGGUCCUAAGGUAGCGAAAUUCCUUGUCGGGUAAGUUCCGACCCGCACGAAUGGCGUAACGACUUGUGAGCUGUCUCAACAGGAGGCCCGGUGAAAUUGAAGUAUGUGUGAAGAUGCACAUUACCCGCGACUGGACGGAAAGACCCCGUAGAGCUUUACUGUAACCUGACAUUGGAUCUUGAUAACGGAUGCACAGGAUAGGUGGGACGCUGGGAGACGAGGACUUUGGUUUUCGUGGAGCGGCCGUUGGGAUACCACUCUUCUGUUAUUGAGAUUCUAACCUCAAGCCGUGAGCCGGAUGAGAGACAGUGUCAGGCGGACAGUUUGACUGGGGCGGUCGCCUCCGAAAGAGUAACGGAGGCGCCCAAAGGUACCCUCAGAAUGGAUGGAAACCAUUCGAAGAGAGCAAAGUCAGAAGGGUGCUUGACUGCGAGACCAACAAGUCGAGCAGGUACGAAAGUAGGGCUUAGUGAUCCGGCGGUAAGAGAGUGGAAUUGCCGUCGCUCAACGGAUAAAAGCUACCUCGGGGAUAACAGGCUGAUCUCCCCCAAGAGUUCACAUCGACGGGGAGGUUUGGCACCUCGAUGUCGGCUCA